UUACCACUUUUGCUCUCAAAGUUUGCCAUAAAAAUGGGACGACAAAAUAAAAAUAUAGGGAAGUAAAAACGGCUUUUGGAAUUUUCUAAUUUUUGAUCCUCACCCUGUAUAAAGUAUAUACAUUUUACGUGCCCACCUAGUAAAUACUAACAUACGUAAAUGUAUGUAAUAAGAAGAACGAAUAUGACCUAAUAAUGUCUUCCUUUUAUCUAGGUAUGCACUAUCUACAUAGUGGCCAGUAGGUAUAAUAUGUAUAUGUAGGUACUAAGAGCAAAACUUGAAAUGAAAAUCAUGUUUAGUGGUGGUGUCGUUUGUUCAUUCUUUGUCUUUCACCUCAGUCAAAAUAAAUAAUAGCUAUUAUGUAGAGUUCGUCGAUAGAGGAGCUGGAGGAGGUCCUCAUUACUCAUUAGUGCGCGUCUCUUUGCGUAUUUGUGGAGCCCUAUAAUUCCUCCUUAUCCUUUCAUUUUUGACAAUUUCUUUUAAUAGACCCAUAAUAAUUAUACGAAUAACAAUAUUUCCACUUGCCGUUCGUUUUUACUCUCUUCUUCUUCAAUGUCUUCCUUUAUACACAUAUAUGUAUAUAAUGUGUUAUUAGUGCUGUUGGUUGCUAUUAUUGCUCCAUGAUGAUGAACGGUUUACCUGGAGUGGUGGUAAGUGGUAGUGGUAGAGUGAUAAUGAUGGUUGUACGUACACACAUACAUAGUGGUGGUCGUCGUCGUUGUAGUCGUUGUGAUGGCAGUAAUUGAAACUGUUCUUAAGAGCUGGAUGUAUUUGUAUGUAGUAUUAGUAGAGAGAGCGAAGUUGACUUUUGUUUUCUUCCUCAUGACCAUUGUCAGUCAUUAUUGCUAUUAGUCAUUACUUCUUUGCUAUGCUUUGAUGGAAAGAAAGACAGACAGAAACGUACAAAAUGCAAAGUGAUCUUUUUGUUAUAUUAUUAGGGGCGUCCGCAGGGAAGGGGCUGUAUCCCCAAAUAAGGAAUUUUUAUUCUUACUAGAAAUUUAAUUAAUUUUUUACAAAUUUUUUUACAAAAAAUUCAAUUUUUGAAAUUUUUCUACGAAAAAUUUAAUAUUUGAAAUUUAGGUUUCAGUUUUUUCUGAAGAGCUCUAGAAUUUUAGGUAUGGAUUUUGUAUUGUUUUGGAAAUGGCUAUGAAUUUUUAAAAAAAUUCUUCAAAAAAUUUAAUAU
rnacentral:lncRNA from 1 species